rnacentral:rRNA from 1 species
UACGUAGGGUGCAAGCGUUGUCCGGAAUUAUUGGGCGUAAAGAGCUCGUAGGCGGUCUGUCGCGUCUGCUGUGAAAACUCGGGGCUUAACCCCCGGGCCUGCAGUGGGUACGGGCAGACUAGAGUGCGGUAGGGGGAGACUGGAAUUCCUGGUGUAGCGGUGAAAUGCGCAGAUAUCAGGAGGAACACCGGUGGCGAAGGCGGGUCUCUGGGCCGAUACUGACGCUGAGGAGCGAAAGCGUGGGAGCGAACAGG